ACGAACGCUGGCGGCGUGCUUCACCCAUGCCAGUCGAACGGAAAGGCCCUGCUUUUGUGGGGUGCUCGAGUGGCGAACGGGUGAGUAACACGUGAGUAACCUGCCCUUGACUUUGGGAUAACUUCAGGAAACUGGGGCUAAUACCGGAUAGGAGCUCCUGCUGCAUGGUGGGGGUUGGAAAGUUUCGGCGGUUGGGGAUGGACUCGCGGCUUAUCAGCUUGUUGGUGGGGUAGUGGCUUACCAAGGCUUUGACGGGUAGCCGGCCUGAGAGGGUGACCGGCCACAUGGGGACUGAGAUACGGCCCAGACUCCUACGGGAGGCAGCAGUGGGGAAUAUUGCACAAUGGGCGGAAGCCUGAUGCAGCAACGCCGCGUGCGGGAGGACGGCCUUCGGGUUGUAAACCGCUUUCGCCUGUGACGAAGCGUGAGUGACGGUAAUGGGUAAAGAAGCACCGGCUAACUACGU
rnacentral:rRNA from 1 species